AUACAUGCAAGUCGAGCGGACCGACGGGAGCUUGCUCCCUUAGGUCAGCGGCGGACGGGUGAGUAACACGUGGGUAACCUGCCUGUAAGACUGGGAUAACUCCGGGAAACCGGGGCUAAUACCGGAUGCUUGAUUGAACCGCAKGGUUCAAUCAUAAAAGGUGGCUUUUAGCUACCACUURCAGAUGGACCCGCGGCGCAWUAGCUAGUUGGUGAGGUAACGGCUCACCAAGGCGACRAUBCGUAGCCMACCUGAGAGGGUGAUCGGCCACACUGGGACUGARACACGGCCCARACUCCUACGGGAGGCAGCAGUAGGGAAUCUUCCGCAAUGGACGAAAGUCUGACGGARCAACGCCCCGUGAGUGAUGAAGGUUUUCGGAUCGUAAAACUCUKUUGUUAGGGAARAACAAGUACCGUUCGAAUAGGGCGGYACCUUGACGGUACCUAACCAGAAAGCCACGGCUAACUACGUGCCAGCAGCCGCGGUAAUACGUAGGUGGCAAGCGUUGUCCGGAAUUAUUGGGCGUAAAGCGCGCGCAGGCGGUUUCUUAAGUCUGAUGUGAAAGCCCCCGGCUCAACCGGGGAGGGUCAUUGGAAACUGGGGAACUUGAGUGCAGAAGAGGAGAGUGGAAUUCCACGUGUAGCGGUGAAAUGCGUAGAGAUGUGGAGGAACACCAGUGGCRAARGCRACUCUCUGGUCUGUAACUGACGCUGAGGCGCGAAAGCGUGGGGAGCGAACAGGAUUAGAUACCCUGGUAGUCCACGCCGUAAACGAUGAGUGCUAAGUGUUAGAGGGUUUCCGCCCUUUAGUGCUGCAGCAAACGCAUUAAGCACUCCGCCUGGGGAGUACGGUCGCAAGACUGAAACUCAAAGGAAUUGACGGGGGCCCGCACAAGCGGUGGAGCAUGUGGUUUAAUUCGAAGCAACGCGAAGAACCUUACCAGGUCUUGACAUCCUCUGACAACCCUAGAGAUAGGGCUUCCCCUUCGGGGGCAGAGUGACAGGUGGUGCAUGGUUGUCGUCAGCUCGUGUCGUGAGAUGUUGGGUUAAGUCCCGCAACGAGCGC
rnacentral:rRNA from 1 species